GAUAAACGCUGGCGGCGUGCCUAACACAUGCAAGUCGAACGCUCUGGUGUAUUUCGGUACAGCAGAGAGUGGCGGACGGGUGAGUAACACGUGGGUGACCUACCUUUCAGUGAGGAAUACCGGCGAGAAAUCGCCGACAAGACCGCAUACGCUUCUUUUCGUCAAGGGGAGAAGGAAAGCUCCGCAGGGGGCGCUGGAAGAUGGGCCUGCGGCCGAUUAGCUAGCUGGUGGGGUAAUGGCUUACCAGGGCGACGAUCGGUAGCUGGUCUGAGAGGAC
rnacentral:rRNA from 1 species